CGGGGUGAGUAAUGUCUGGGAAACUGCCUGAUGAGGGGGGAUAACUGCUGGAAACGGUAGCUAAUACCGCAUAACGUCGCAAGACCAAAGAGGGGGACCUUCGGGCCUCUUGCCAUCGGAUGUGCCCAGAUGGGAUUAGCUAGUAGGUGGGGUAACGGCUCACCUAGGCGACGAUCCCUAGCUGGUCUGAGAGGAUGGCCAGCCACACUGGAACUGAGACACGGUCCAG
rnacentral:rRNA from 1 species